GGGGCCUCCAGUUGCCCAUCCCUGCUAUUGAGUAACAUUUACCUAAUUUGAACCAUAGUAUAUUACAAUACUGUAAAUAUAAUAUUUCAAAGCAAUGCAAUGUUUCCUGUGGCUACCCCACUCAACAGAGAAAGUUGACCCCUGGCCUAGCAUGACAGAAGAGAUGUAAAAUUAGUGAACGUUUGUGGGAGACCUGCUAACCUUUCUGCUGAAUCAAAAGGCCAUACAUAGUCCUCCCUUAUCACAACCAUAGAACCUAACAAUCCUGUUGCUUCUUAAUGUUGGUACUGUAUUUCUGUUAAACAGGACCAUUCAAAAAAGUAGGGGAUAUCUUACCAAACACAUAACGUAAUAGAAGGGAUGCAACAAAAUAAGUUUGGAAUUGAUUGUAUACACGUUUUUCUUUCUCUUACGCACAAAGUUGGCCUAUUGAUGCCAUCUUGUGGACACUGAAAAGCAGAUGUUGAGAUAUUAUGUACAUAGUGAGUAUAAGUAUUUUCUGCACAUUUAAUAAUGCACUGUAUGCAUUAAUUAAUAUAAUAUAAUUGAUAUAUUAAUUGAUGUAUAUAUUUGUUUUUCUUAAUUCAUAUACAUGGUUAAUUUUGUUGUUUGAAUUCAACCUCAGAUAACCUGAUAUUUAUAUAAUUCACUAUGCCAAAAUGUAAUGAAUGUAUAAAUAAAAGAGUAAUGUCAUUUACCUAUAUAGGCUGUAGGAAUUUUACUUGUAUUGACUUACAAUGUUGCAUUCCGACACCAAAUUAUAACCAGUGGCAGCCACAUGUAUAGAACAGCCAUGAAACACUUUGACCCGUUUCUUGAAAAUUCUGUCAAUGUUACAGUACAUUGAAUGCCUGUGUCAAUGUGGUUUCUGUGGCUAUAACUGCUCUUUUCUUCUUAGGUACAGGAAACAAGUCAAUCAUUUUCACAUGUGUUGGAACCAUAUUCAACAAAGAAACGACACAAUUAGAUCACCAAUGUUCCGCGCUUUUCUAUUGCUGUUACUGGCAGGUCCUGCACACACUAGUGUGAAGGUAAACCAGUGGACGUCUGAAACUCGCUACACAUUGGGAGACACAGCCAUUUUGCAUUGCAACAUAACCUCCGAUCAGGAGGUGAUAGAGAACUGUGAAAUGCAUUGGGUAAUCAUGGAUAUCAACAACAAAAACCGAACAAUAGAUGUCCUGAAGACAGAGUUGUAUAAGCAACGUGUAAACAUUGAGUCAAUUGAAAGCACCACUUCCAUGACAUUAAGAAACCUGACCUUACAUGACAGAGAUAUGCCAAACUGUACAGCAGAGUGCUACUUUGAUGGACAAUAUAAAAGAUAUUUUGGGAUGGGUUCUGUUCAGAUUUUCGAAGAGAUGGAAGUAAAGGAAGUCACCCAGGACAAGACAACUGUGGCUCCAAGUGAACUUUAAGAGGAGCCAUUUUACCCCUGGAUCAAAUAUCUACUGUUCUCUAGUAAUCUUCUAAUCUUUCUUGUAGCAACAGCUAUUUAUGUGUUUUACAUGCGAAAACAAAUGCAAAGGAAUUAAAGAACGAAUUGGCCGUGUUACUGCUGUAUGCAUCUCUCGUCCAGCACCAGAUCAAAUGCCACCUUUAUGAGAAUGUAUCAAAUUGAUAUAACAUGGCUUUGGCUAGUGUAAGUGUCCAGUGCUGGUGAUCGCGUGCCCGUUGGAGCCGCUUCUUCUUGUUUUCAGCGGAUAGGAGUGGAACCCAGUGUGGUCGCCUGCUGACAAGGACCGAUGAGUUGUGCAUUCCGAUACGCCAUUCUCUGUAAACCAUAACACAUGGAUGGGCAACUUUGAUUCUUGUGGGGGCCACAAAAGAUCUAAACUGAUCACGAGGGGCUGCCGUUGCUCUCAGGUCUCAUACCCACAUCCAUAGCUGUUUUACAGCGAAUUUCCUGCUAUUCUACACAUUUUGCCAUAGGGUGUAGAGAAAUGUUGGCCGUUUUAAUAUGAUAUCUUAGUGAGACUGACAAACAAAAAAAACUAUGGGGGACAUCUCGGCCGAUAAUUCGACCAUGAUUACAAGUUUAGAUAGCUGUCCGAUAAACUAAUUUGGCAAUCUAAAAAAUGUUAGCUGACAUGGGAUAAUUGACUGACUAUCUGUGUCUGACAUAAACAAGAGAAACCUUUCUGAAACACAACCACAUUUCGAAAUUGCACCCUGUGUAUUCUACUAUUCUAACCCAUAACAGUAAAUGUAGACCCCGUCUGAGUUCCUAAUUGAUUCGAGUUCCUUUAAAAGGAGACGCGGGACGCAAGUUGCCCAAUUUUACCCUAGACAAUGUCGUGCGUGAAAAGUCUCCGAGGCCGACCGUUUCAAAUAAACUGGCCACUGAGUGUAUAUGAUAUGAAUAGUGAUAAGACGAGCUAAUGAAAUAGGCUGCCAAUGCAACGUUAGCCUAGUCUACUACAGGCUGCACAGUUUUUGUAGUUCACGUGUCGCCUUGCAAAACCGGUCACAUACAAUAUUGUGGCUUCAAGGUAAUCAAAAUCGAAAGCAAAAUGUUUCUUUCGUUUUUAUUUUAUUUUCAACUUUACAUUGUUCAUUAUAUAGCUACCGUAGGCUACUAUGCUAUUGAUUAAUACACAAUUUAUCAUACUUAAAUUGACUGUUCACUUAAAAUCCCAGACUAUAUUCAAAUGAAAGCUUUAACAGCCUCUGCUGUUUUUCGAAUCCCAGACUGUAGCUUUAACAUGAAAUUAUCAAUAUUACAGAAGGACAUGGGAUCUUUUUUUAUUUGUAUUAUUAGCUGGUUAUAUUAGGCUUACUACAGUAUGCCACAAAACCUAUAUAUAUAGGCUACUAUCCUGGCCUAGGCUAUGCUACUGUAAGGCUGACGCUUCACAUUUCUGCCUCGAAAAAACUGUCAAAUAUAAUGUGGAAUUGUGGAUCAAAAUCGAAAGUGAAAUGUUAUUCUUGUUUUUACUUUAUCUUUUCAACUUUACAAUGUUCAUUAUAUAGCUACUGUAGGCCUACUGUGCUAUUGAUUAAUAAACUAUCAUAAUCAAGUUUACUAUUCACUUUAAUCCUGGUUAAAUCUGAGGUGCAAAACAUCAGUUCCUACCGUGGUGCUGGUACAGUACUGGAGUGCAGCAGACUGGCAUUCAAAUCACUGUACAGAUAUAGCCUUCACGGACAGGUAAUACAGGUCAGUGACUAGCGUGACGAUUAGUGUAACCUAGGCUACGGAAAUAAUAAUAAUACAUUUACAUUUACAUGUAAGUCAUUUAGCAGACGCUCUUAUCCAGAGCGACUUACAAAUUGGUGCAUUCACCUUAUGAUAUCCAGUGGAACAACCACUUUACAAUAGUGCAUCUAAAUCUUUUAAG
rnacentral:lncRNA from 1 species